rnacentral:tRNA from 1 species
UCCUAAUGAUUUAGAUGGUAAAGAAUCUGCCUAUAAUGCAGGAGACCCAGGUUCAGUCCCUGGGUUGGGAA